ACCUUGCCAUGCCCGCGUGGGAUCCCCGGCGCGGCCCGGACCUGAGCCACACUCGCCUUACACACGCCGCCUGCCCUGCCCGGCUGGCGCUCCCCGGAGUGUCCCUUGUUGAAGGUGGAUACAGAGCACUGGAUGGAAAUACUUUCUUCUUGUACUUUAUGAAUCAGUUUUAUUUUAAAAUAAAAAAUUUUAAACAUC